rnacentral:rRNA from 1 species
GAAGGCUAUGUUGGCCGGGCGACGGUUGUCCCGGUUUAAGCGUGUAGGCUGGUUUUCCAGGCAAAUCCGGAAAAUCAAGGCUGAGGCGUGAUGACGAGGCACUACGGUGCUGAAGCAACAAAUGCCCUGCUUCCAGGAAAAGCCUCUAAGCAUCAGGUAACAUCAAAUCGUACCCCAAACCGACACAGGUGGUCAGGUAGAGAAUACCAAGGCGCUUGAGAGAACUCGGGUGAAGGAACUAGGCAAAAUGGUGCCGUAACUUCGGGAGAAGGCACGCUGAUAUGUAGGUGAAGUCCCUCGCGGAUGGAGCUGAAAUCAGUCGAAGAUACCAGCUGGCUGCAACUGUUUAUUAAAAACACAGCACUGUGCAAACACGAAAGUGGACGUAUACGGUGUGACGCCUGCCCGGUGCCGGAAGGUUAAUUGAUGGGGUUAGCGCAAGCGAAGCUCUUGAUCGAAGCCCCGGUAAACGGCGGCCGUAACUAUAACGGUCCUAAGGUAGCGAAAUUCCUUGUCGGGUAAGUUCCGACCUGCACGAAUGGCGUAAUGAUGGCCAGGCUGUCUCCACCCGAGACUCAGUGAAAUUGAACUCGCUGUGAAGAUGCAGUGUACCCGCGGCAAGACGGAAAGACCCCGUGAACCUUUACUAUAGCUUGACACUGAACAUUGAGCCUUGAUGUGUAGGAUAGGUGGGAGGCUUUGAAGUGUGGACGCCAGUCUGCAUGGAGCCGACCUUGAAAUACCACCCUUUAAUGUUUGAUGUUCUAACGUUGACCCGUAAUCCGGGUUGCGGACAGUGUCUGGUGGGUAGUUUGACUGGGGCGGUCUCCUCCUAAAGAGUAACGGAGGAGCACGAAGGUUGGCUAAUCCUGGUCGGACAUCAGGAGGUUAGUGCAAUGGCAUAAGCCAGCUUGACUGCGAGCGUGACGGCGCGAGCAGGUGCGAAAGCAGGUCAUAGUGAUCCGGUGGUUCUGAAUGGAAGGGCCAUCGCUCAACGGAUAAAAGGUACUCCGGGGAUAACAGGCUGAUACCGCCCAAGAGUUCAUAUCGACGGCGGUGUUUGGCACCUCGAUGUCGGCUCAUCACAUCCUGGGGCUGAAGUAGGUCCCAAGGGUAUGGCUGUUCGCCAUUUAAAGUGGUACGCGAGCUGGGUUUAGAACGUCGUGAGACAGUUCGGUCCCUAUCUGCCGUGGGCGCUGGAGAACUGAGGGGGGCUGCUCCUAGUACGAGAGGACCGGAGUGGACGCAUCACUGGUGUUCGGGUUGUCAUGCCAAUGGCACUGCCCGGUAGCUAAAUGCGGAAGAGAUAAGUGCUGAAAGCAUCUAAGCACGAAACUUGCCCCGAGAUGAGUUCUCCCUGACUCCUUGAGAGUCCUGAAGGAACGUUGAAGACGACGACGUUGAUAGGCCGGGUGUGUAAGCGCAGCGAUGCGUUGAGCUAACCGGUACUAAUGAACCGUGAGGCUUAACCUU